AAUCCCCAAAUUAGAAAAUCGGGACAGCAGCUCUUCUCCUCCUCUUUCUCGGCAGAAAUCGUCACUCCCGACGGUCUCACGCCGUCCGCCGGAGAUUCCACGCACGGAGUAACCUUUCUUUUUAACGGAUCGGGUUUCCCCUCAACUCAUUUUUACUCUCUUUUGUCUUCGGCGAGAUCAUCGCGGAGUUUCCGCAUUCUCAGGCGGAGUCGCCGUGGUGGAAGGAGGCGUCGCCUCACCUCCGCGCUCCAGCAACUCACCGCCUCGCCAGCUGCUGCUCCGCCGUUCCUCGCGCUGCUGCUCCUGCAGCGCCGCGGCCUCACGUCGGCGUUUGCUCGAUGCCGGGCAGCCCCUCCGCCUAAGCUAAGCUUCCUCCCCUUCCCCUUCUACUCAAAUUCUAACAAUAAAAACGAAAGCUUUGGGGCUCUCUAGUGCUUAUUGAUUCGAAACUUGGCUGUACUUAAUCACUGGAAGGAGCUUGCCAUUGUUUUUGCUACACUUAGUCUUGUUUCUAUGAUAUACUUGUGGUUUACUGAUUUAGGAGUAUCCCAUACUUGACUAAGCAUUGGUACCAUCUGUUGAUGUUCGGUUCUUUAUGCUUGCUACUUUUAUGACUAUUCUAUUGAGCUUCUAUGAAUCUAAGUUAUUGGCUAUCUAUUGUGGUUGAUCUACGUGAUGCGAUGGAGAUGGUUGUUGAGGUUGUUACCUCACUUUGAUGAUUCCUCUUGGAAGGGACUGAUGUCCUGCCUCAAACUCUCCUCUUUGCUCCUCCUCCCUUCCUUGCUAUUCUCUUGAAUAUUUGGUGAAAUUAUAGUGUUGAGAAUGAGGGGAUGAGAAGGAGAUUGGGGCUGUUUAUAUAGUGCUAUUGGAAUCUAUGUUUGAGACUUGGAGGCAAAGGCUCCUAUUUUGGGGUUGCUAGCUCUUUCUCUUUCGAGCUUGAUGAUUGUGAGAUUCUUGCCGUUUUGGUGAUUGUGGCUGAUCUUCUUGGCUGAUUUCUCGGCCUUGAUCGACGGGGAGAUGAGAGUUUGACUCAUUUUCUACUUUUGGGCUUGUGUACAUGGAGGCAUUCUUGGAGCUUGUGGAGGGGAGCAAAAUCGAGAAUAAGAAUGAGAGGGAAAGAAAGAAGAUGCUCCUUUUGAGCUCAUUUGGUUCUAUCCCCAAUUUAGUUUGCUUCCAAACUUGAGAAUUAAAGAAGUAGGAUAGAUAGUGUAGAAUAGGUGCAUGUUGAUUUUAUCACACUUGCAGGCAUGUACUAUUUCCAUCAUCCAUGUAUUUUAUUCCUCAAAAACUAUCUAAUACAAGCAUAGUUUUUACUUUUA